GCUUGCACUUGNAUGAUUUGACAUUGAGACGAGUGGCGAACUGGUGAGUAACACGUGGGUAACCUGCCCUUGAAGUAGAGGAUAACACUUGGAAACAGGUGCUAAUACUGCAUAACAACGAAAACCGCCUGGUUUUCGUUUGAAAGAUGGCUUCGGCUAUCGCUUUAGGAUGGACCCGCGGCGUAUUAGCUAGUUGGUGAGGUAACGGCUCACCAAGGCAAUGAUACGUAGCCGACCUGAGAGGGUAAUCGGCCACAUUGGGACUGAGACACGGCCCAAACUCCUACGGGAGGCAGCAGUAGGGAAUCUUCCACAAUGGACGAAAGUCUGAUGGAGCAACGCCGCGUGAGUGAUGAAGGGUUUCGGCUCGUAAAACUCUGUUGUUGGAGAAGAACGGGUGUCAGAGUAACUGUUGACAUCGUGACGGUAUCCAACCAGAAAGCCACGGNUAACUACGUGCCCACAGGCGCGGUAAUAAAA
rnacentral:rRNA from 2 species